UACGUAGGGGGCGAGCGUUGUCCGGAUUUAUUGGGCGUAAAGAGCUCGUAGGCGGCUCAGUAAGUCAGGUGUGAAAACUCCAGGCUCAACCUGGAGACGCCACCUGAUACUGCUGUGGCUAGAGUCCGGUAGGGGAGCAUGGAAUUCCUGGUGUAGCGGUGAAAUGCGCAGAUAUCAGGAGGAACACCAGUGGCGAAGGCGGUGCUCUGGGCCGGAACUGACGCUGAGGAGCGAAAGCGUGGGGAGCAAACAGG
rnacentral:rRNA from 1 species